AGGUUGCGCUGACUGGUCUCAGCUUCCUGGUGAGGAGGUGUGCUCCAUCGCCACUUAGUCACCGUGGUUACUUUGAAAAAAUUAGAGUGUUCAAAGCGGGCUUACGCUUGAAUAUAUUAGCAUGGAAUAACACCAUAGGACUCCUGUCCUAUUUCGUUGGUCUCGGGACGGGAGUAAUGAUUAAGAGGAACAGUUGGGGGCAUUCGUAUUUCAUUGUCAGAGGUGAAAUUCUUGGAUUUAUGAAAGACGAACUUCUGCGAAAGCAUUUGCCAAGGAUGUUUUCAUUGAUCAAGAACGAAAGUUGGGGGCUCGAAGAUGAUUAGAUACCAUCCUAGUCUCAACCAUAAACGAUGCCGACUAGGGAUUGGCGGAUGUUAAUUGAUGACUUCGCCAGCACCUUAUGAGAAAUCAAAGUUUUUGGGUUCCGGGGGGAGUAUGGUCGCAAGGCUGAAACUUAAAGGAAUUGACGGAAGGGCACCACCAGGCGUGGAGCCUG
rnacentral:rRNA from 1 species